AUCGAUAUACCACGUUAAUUUUACUUUAAUUUAAAACUUAUAUACCGCCAUCUUAAGAAUUAAUUUAAAAACAUUUCUCUUAAUAAAUCAUACAAAGUUAGGUCAAGGUGUAAUUUAUAUUAAAGAAUAGAUGAAUUACAUUAAAUAAAAUUUAAAGAUUAUACAUAAAUAUAUAUAUACAAAUAAGGAUUUAAAAGUAAUAAUAUAAUAAUAAUAAAAUAUGAUAAAGAUAAUAAAUGUGUACACAUCGCCC
rnacentral:rRNA from 1 species